AAGACUAUACUUUCAGGGAUCAUUUUUAUAGUAUGUUACUAGAGAAGUUUCUCUGAACUUGUAGUGUACCCGAAACCACGAGGAGGAGACGUAGUAUUCCUUCCUGAGCGUGAAGUUGAUUUUGGGUGUUGUAUGUGCAACAGCCCUUGAUCUUUGAUGAUCGUUCUUCCUCUGUUUGGCAGAGGUUAGAGGGAAGGAAUGCCGUCUGAGUGGU
rnacentral:snoRNA from 1 species